rnacentral:rRNA from 1 species
UACGAAGGGGACGAGCGUUAUUCGGAAUGAUUAGGCGUAAAGAGUUUGUAGGCGGUAUAAUUAGUUAUUAGUUAAAGAUUAAAGAAUAAAAACUUUAAAAUGGCUUUUAAUACUAAAAUACUAGAGUAUAGAAGGGAAUAGUAGAACUUUAUACAUAGGGGUAAAAUCCAACGACGUAUAAAAAGAAUGCCAACAGCGAAAGCAACUAUUUAGUCUAUUUACUACGCUGAGAGACG